UCCAGUUGGAGCCGGGCCUCACCAACCCAUAAUAUUCCCCAGUCUCCUAAGGCUGUUCCAGCCCAUAAUACUCUCCCUGUCUCCUAAGGCCUCUCCAUCCCAUAAUACUGCCAGACGCCUGACCUGUGGGCCAAACCCCAGCCAGUUCCACACAUCGAGGCUGUGUCAGCGCCGCAGGCCUCCCUCCCUGUCCCUCCUCCCUCCCUGGUCGGCGCUUUCCCUCCCAGGCUUUCUCCCGCCCUCCUGCCCUGGGCCCCUCUCCCAGCCCCACCCCGUGCCUGCCUGGGCCCUCGCUUCCCCUCCAGCCUCCUCCCUUGCCCUUUCUCCAUUGCUUGGUUCUCCAGCCAGCUUCCCCCUGUCUUGCACUUUCCUACCUCCUCCUUGGUCUGUGGGAUGGACAUGGGCCUAGUGGGGAGAGAGUGCCCCCAGAGGGCAACAGGCCAGUCGCUGCCCCUAAAGACUGCCUGCUUGACCUAGCACCGUGGAAACCUGCCCAGCCUGCCUUGCUCACCACCUCCCGUGGUCCUACGUCUGAUUGCUGGCAGAGCUCUGUCUGGUUCUGGAGCCUUUGGGAUUCCCCAAACCCUGAGUGAGAAAGUUCACCUUCCAGGACUUUCCGUGCUCCUCUGGCAAGGACAACAUGGGCAAAGUGCUAAGAUUUUGGACUACGAGGUUUGGCGCUGCCAGUGCUCUCAGGACAGGAAGGGCACAGGUCUUGAACCCUGAAGAUGAAGAGAGAUGGAGCAGGUGCUAAUCACCAGGCCUCUUCCAGAGCGGCUGGAGGUAAGUGCCGGGCUCCAGGCUCCAAUCUCCACCCAGAUGGAGAAAGGCCCAGAUUUCAUGGCUAUCCCUGAGGAAUCUGGGUCAGUUCUCUGAUUUGGCCACCAGGGGUCAUUUUACCCCUGUAAAUCACCAUCUGGAGCACUUGGCAUAAAGGCACACACAAAAGGCUACCCUGGACUAAAACAGACACAAACGGAGAACCCUGACACACACACACACACACACACACACACCUCUCUCUCUCUCUCUCUCACACACACACACACACACAUUCUCUCACACACACAGAGUGCGUGCACACACAGAUAAAAAUACAGUAUUGAGACAUAGGGACAGAAAUGCUAUAGGACGCACACAGGGCAACAGCUCCUUCAGUAAUGCCAGGGUCUGAAGAUGUCCACAAGUGCCAACUCUGCAGCCCCUCCGAGCCCCCAACUUGGGUGAAGAGGGAAGGAAUAGCCGGGCACAAUGGCUCAUGCCUGUAAUCCCAGCACUUUGGGACGCAGGCAGAUUCACCUGAGGUCAGGAGUUCGA
rnacentral:lncRNA from 1 species